rnacentral:lncRNA from 10 species
GUGAGAAUACAACAAGAAGUUAGCAUUCUGCAUCCCAGAAGAGGACACUCACUAGAACCCAACUGUGCUACAUCCUGAUCCUGAUCUCAGAUUUCCAGUUCCCAGUACGCGUUGUGGACACUAUGAGCUGCCCAGCUGCCCCUUAGAGGAAAAAUUUAUUGUUCUAGCUUCUAGGAAUGUUAUUGGCAGGUGGCAUUUAAAUCUCAGCCCCUUCAGGGUUUACCUGAACUGCAGAGAACGAGCCUACCUGACCAAGUACAAGAUCCUUUCCAAGUCAGCCCAGGAGGGAUGACUGACAGAGCAGAGGCAGAAAGGACCAGCCAUUCUGGAGCAGGAUAGGUGUUGAUCCCAAGGGCUCGCAUAGAAAACACGUGCACAUUAAACUCAGUAUCCUAAUCUGCUUGUAGACAAAUGUUACCUGCAACAUCCAGUGGAAGAGAGUAGGAAUUCGGGAAGAUUAAAGUUGCCACCAUUGCAGAGAAAAAUCAUUAUUGAGCCGGGUCUCAAAUUUAUUAUUAUUACCAUUUUCCACAUACUGGUGUCCGAAAAUAAACCUGAAAUAAAUGCUUAAGAAAAAAAAUC